rnacentral:rRNA from 1 species
GCUCAAAUUUGAAAUCUGGCCCCCAGGGCCCGAGUUGUAAUUUGCAGAGGAUGCUUUUGGCGCGGUGCCUUCCGAGUUCCCUGGAACGGGACGCCAUAGAGGGUGAGAGCCCCGUCUGGUCGGACGCCUAGCCUGUGUAAAGCUCCUUCGACGAGUCGAGUAGUUUGGGAAUGCUGCUCUAAAUGGGAGGUAUAUGUCUUCUAAAGCUAAAUACCGGCCAGAGACCGAUAGCGCACAAGUAGAGUGAUCGAAAGAUGAAAAGCACUUUGAAAAGAGGGUUAAAUAGUACGUGAAAUUGUUGAAAGGGAAGCGCUUGUGACCAGACUUGGGCCCGGUGGAUCAUCCAGCGUUCUCGCUGGUGCACUCCGCCGGGUUCAGGCCAGCAUCAGUUCGCCGCGGGGGAAAAAGGCUUCGGGAACGUGGCUCCUACGGGAGUGUUAUAGCCCGUUGCAUAAUACCCUGGGGCGGACUGAGGUUCGCGCUCCGCAAGGAUGCUGGCGUAAUGGUCAUCAGCGACCCGU